rnacentral:lncRNA from 1 species
AACUCUUGAUUGCUUGAUGGGUUAGUUUCCCCGACAACCUUACCACCUUUAUCUUCAUCUGUUCCUUCAUCUUUUCAUUAGUUUGAGAAUAUUUUGACUAUGAAAUCUCCCCCGAACUGUUGCUGUAUUUCUUGCAAGGAACUUUCCUUUCUAGCUUUUUCUACAGUCGGAAGGAUCAGUAUUUCCUCCUCAUCAUUCAGGAGGGUAAAAUCAGGAAUGUGGUUGCUGACUUUGGGC